UUCUGGGGCUGGGAAAAUGACCACUGUCACAUUCCUCCCAUCCUCUGAAAAUCCUAGGACCUGCAGUAUUGAGCAAAGCUUUGAAGGAGCCGGCUGGUGGAUCUCCACUCCGGAUUUUCCAGCUGUCCCUGUCCCCCCACCGCUCAGAGAGCAGGAUGCUGAGAUGGUUCGGUGAUGCAGAAGGUAUGUGCUUUUUCAGUUCUGGUGCUGAUGCUGUGUGUGUGGUGAGGUCUCUGUGGCGCAAUGGACGAGCGCGCUGGACUUCUAAUCCAGAGGUUCCGGGUUCGAGUCCCGGCAGAGAUGGUCACCUGGCAGGUGAACCCUGGAAACCGGAGAGGACAAGUUUCCCUGACUGCUCGAGAGUCAGCAUCUCUUCCACGUGGGACACCAGAUGAGGGACCAGAGAGAACAGAGCCGUACACUGGCACUCCGAGGGAGCUGAGGUGAGGUUCGUCCAGAGAGGGCCCAGUGCGGCGAGGGAGUAGAUUCUGGUGAGUUCACAAAGGAGUGAGAGGUGAGCAAGCGGAGGUAAGGAGCAUAGAAAAUUAAAAUACUUGUCGAGAAAUGGACUUUGAGGGUAGGGUGUGGGGUAAGGUGAAGAGAGAAGGCGCAGGAGGGAUGUUGUCCGUUGGAUUUUUUUUUUUUUUUGGGAUGUAGAAUGUUUGGAAAUGUUUAAAUGCCCUUGGAAAUUAUCUCAUAAAUAAAGAAAGACUGAAG
rnacentral:tRNA from 1 species